rnacentral:lncRNA from 1 species
AAAUAGAAGUUACUCAGAAUAAACAUAAAAAGACACUAGAUAAGAUAGAACAAAAUUUAGAUUAUCUAAAGUCACAAGAAGUAGAAAUAGACAGAAAAAUUCAGUAUUUAAACCACAAGUUUAAUUUAGAAAAAAUACCUACAAAAUUAGAAAUUGAAAAACUAAUAAAAACCAUAAUAGAAAGACCUAAAGAAUUGGAAGUAAAAACAACUCAACUAAUAUCUAAGCUUGUAGAACAAGUAGAAAAUAUAACAACAGAGAUCAAAGAUUUGCAAGAAAUAACAAAAAGAUUAGAAGAAAUAUCACUUUCAUGAGUGAAGAAGAUAUAAAUUACAAUAAAGCACUAGAAAAAUCAAGAAAUUAUCAUAGUGA